AAAACAUCGCCUCCUGCAACACAACCAAGUAUAGGAGGUCCAGCCUGCCCAGUGACUACAAGUUCAACGGCCGCGGUAUUUUGACCGUGCAAAGGUAGCGCAAUCACUUGUCUUUUAAAUAGAGACCUGUAUGAAUGGCUAAACGAGGGCUUAACUGUCUCCCCUUUCAAGUCAGUGAAAUUGAUCUGCCCGUGCAGAAGCGGACAUAAUAAUACAAGACGAGAAGACCCUUUGGAGCUUAAGGUACAAAACUCAACCACGUCAAGCAACUCACUAAAAAGCAAAAACCUUGUGGAACAUGAAAUUUUACCUUCGGUUGGGGCGACCACGGAGGAAAACAAAGCCUCCAAGUGGACUGGGACAAACCUCCUAAAACCAAGAGAAACAUCUCUAAGCCACAGAACAUCUGACCAAACAUGAUCCGGCUGCUUAAAGCCGAUCAACGAACCAAGUUACCCUAGGGAUAACAGCGCAAUCCUCUCCCAGAGUCCAUAUCGACGAGGGGGUUUACGACCUCGAUGUUGGAUCAGGACAUCCUAAUGGUGCAGCCGCUAUUAAGGGUUCGUUUGUUCAACGAUUAAAGUCCUACGUGA
rnacentral:rRNA from 1 species